rnacentral:rRNA from 1 species
UACGAGUGGUCCAAGCGUUAUCCGGUCUUAUUGGGCGUAAAGGGUCCGCAGGCGGUUAGGUAAGUCUGGUGUUAAAUCCUGGUGCUCAACAUCAGGGCCGCAUUGGAAACUAUCUAACUAGAGGCUGGGAGAGGCUCAUGGAAUUGUCGGUGUAGCAGUAAAAUGCUUUAAUAUCGACAGGAACACCAAAGGCGAAGGCAUUGAGCUGGAACAGUUCUGACGCUCAGGGACGAAAGCGUGGGGAGCGAAUGGG